rnacentral:rRNA from 1 species
AGUUUGAUCCUGGCUCAGAUUGAACGCUGGUGGCAUGCCUUACACAUGCAAGUCGAACGGCAGCACGGGGGCAACCCUGGUGGCGAGUGGCGAACGGGUGAGUAAUAUAUCGGAACGUACCCUAGAGUGGGGGAUAACGUAGCGAAAGUUACGCUAAUACCGCAUACGAUCUACGGAUGAAAGCAGGGGACCGCAAGGCCUUGCGCUCAUGGAGCGGCCGAUAUCUGAUUAGCUAGUUGGUAGGGUAAAAGCCUACCAAGGCAUCGAUCAGUAGCUGGUCUGAGAGGACGACCAGCCACACUGGGACUGAGACACGGCCCAGACUCCUACGGGAGGCAGCAGUGGGGAAUUUUGGACAAUGGGGGCAACCCUGAUCCAGCAAUUUUGCUUGAGUGAAGAAGGCCUUCGGGUUGUAAAGCUCUUUUGUCAGGGACGCCCACGGUUAUUUCUAAUAAAGAUGACUAAUGACGGUACCUGAAGAAUAAGCACCGGCUAACUACGUGCCAGCAGCCGCGGUAAUACGUAGGGUGCAAGCGUUAAUCGGAAUUACUGGGCGUAAAGCGUGCGCAGGCGGUUAUGUAAGACAGAUGUGAAAUGCCCGGGCUCAACCUGGGAACUGCAUUUGUGACUGCAUGGCUAGAGUUUGGCAGAGGGGGGUAGAAUUCCACGUGUAGCAGUGAAAUGCGUAGAUAUGUGGAGGAAUACCGAUGGCGAAGGCAGCUCCCUGGGUCAAGACUGACGCUCAUGCACGAAAGCGUGGGGAGCAAACAGGAUUAGAUACCCUGGUAGUCCACGCCCUAAACGAUGUCUACUAGUUGUCGGGUCUUAAUUGACUUGGUAACGCAGCUAACGCGUGAAGUAGACCGCCUGGGGAGUACGGUCGCAAGAUUAAAACUCAAAGGAAUUGACGGGGACCCGCACAAGCGGUGGAUGAUGUGGAUUAAUUCGAUGCAACGCGAAAAACCUUACCUACCCUUGACAUGUACGGAAGCUUUGAGAGAUCAGAGUGUGCUCGAAAGAGAGCCGUAACACAGGUGCUGCAUGGCUGUCGUCAGCUCGUG